rnacentral:rRNA from 1 species
AACGACCAUACCACGCUGAAUACACCGGUUCUCGUCCGAUCACCGAAGUUAAGCAACGUCGGGCCCGGUUAGUACUUAGAUGGGGGACCGCUUA